GACGAACGCUGGCGGCGUGCUUAACACAUGCAAGUCGAACGGUGAUGCUCCAGCUUGCUGGAGUGGAUCAGUGGCGAACGGGUGAGUAACACGUGAGCAACCUGCCCCAGACUCUGGAAUAAGCGCUGGAAACGGCGUCUAAUACUGGAUACGAAACUGGCCCGCAUGGGCAUGGUUUGGAAAGUUUUUCGGUUUGGGAUGGGCUCGCGGCCUAUCAGCUUGUUGGUGAGGUAAUGGCUCACCAAGGCGACGACGGGUAGCCGGCCUGAGAGGGCGACCGGCCACACUGGGACUGAGACACGGCCCAGACUCCUACGGGAGGCAACAGUGGGGAAGAUUGCAGAAUGGGCGAAAGCCUGAUGCAGCGACGCCGGGUGAGGGAUGACGGCUUUCGGGUUGUAAACCUCUUUCAGCAGGGAAGAAGCGAAAGUGAGGGUACCUGAAGAAGAAGCACCGGUAACUUAGGU
rnacentral:rRNA from 1 species